UUAGCAGCUGCCAUCUUGGUGAUUCGUUUUGUGCUGUUUUGGGGGAAAUCUUUUUUUAAAAUCAAAAUUGCAGUGAAAUUUGUCCUUCAUCGCAUCUAAAUCGAAUCCCAUGCCAUAGAGCAGAAAGAGAACUAUGAUUUUCGGUCCCAUUCCAACAUCGUUGAAGAUUCCUCAAUGCGGAUGCUCGCUCCAUGAAAUUUACGCGACGUAGUAAUAGUUGAUCGGCGAUAAGGCACUCCGCGGCCACUCUUCAGAUUCAGGAUUCGUUAUCACGUAACGAAUCUAAUGGUACCCUGCAGAGUCGACGUAGCUACUGUUCUGCCGAGGAAUAAAGAUAUUGUGAACGGAUCUCACAGAAGCUUCCUUGCAAAUAUGAGGGAAGCGAUCUCGCAGCACAUUCGUCGAAUGUUCCUGUCAAGAGUAGGAACUGCAAAUUAAGAAAUCUGAAUUGGAGUGAGGUAACUGACGGCUGAACGGUAACCUGCGAAUUGCAAAUUCGUUUGUUUUUGGCGGUCGAAUCCAGAACGCCAUUAUUUCUUCGUAAUCUAUAUAGUGUAGCUACGGUGUACCUAUCUCUCACUAUAUUCCACGACUGUCCAUCACUCCAAGUUCAUCCAUAGUACGCCAAGAUGGAAGGUGUAAAAUACAUUGAUUGAAACGAAAGAGGAUGCAUCUCCGUGAGAUCCUGGAUGUCUGCAAGAAAUAAAGAUGCAGGAAAUCAUUGAAUCGGGCGGAACGGAGUGUCAAUGAUUCGCACUACGCCGGCCUCGACAUCGGCUUUCUGGUUAGCCAAGGAAGUGGUUAGAAGUAGGCUUUUCAACUUUCGCCGUGCUGUCCUGGAUCGGAACUGCGUGCCCUCGGAGAUAUGACAGUAUGCCACUAGUUCUUCUCAUUAGCUUCUUUUCUACUUCGAAUUGAUCUCAGGGUGCUAACAACAACUUCUGGCUGAGACCGGCCACUACGCUGGGCAAUGAUCCACUUGUUCAACAAGGGCGACCUUCAACAAGGACACCUAUAUUUUGCGUGCGACGAGGAUGGUUAGAAUCUGCCAAGAAGCCUCAUCUGAAGCAUGAGCACCGGGCACCGCUUUUUUGGUAGAAUGCAUAAUUAUUGUUUUUUUCAUGUUCCGUAUUAGACUUAUUCCAAUGAAUAGGAAUUAAAAAGGAAAAUAAAACAAUAUUAUA